rnacentral:rRNA from 1 species
AGAGUUUGAUCAUGGCUCAGAUUGAACGCUGGCGGCAUGCCUUACACAUGCAAGUCGAACGGCAGCAUGAUCUAGCUUGCUAGAUUGAUGGCGAGUGGCGAACGGGUGAGUAAUACAUCGGAACGUGCCCUGUAGUGGGGGAUAACUAGUCGAAAGAUUAGCUAAUACCGCAUACGACCUGAGGGUGAAAGUGGGGGACCGCAAGGCCUCAUGCUAUAGGAGCGGCCGAUGUCUGAUUAGCUAGUUGGUGAGGUAAAGGCUCACCAAGGCGACGAUCCAGUAGCUGGUCUGAGAGGACGAUCAGCCACACUGGGACUGAGACACGGCCCAGACUCCUACGGGAGGCAGCAGUGGGGAAUUUUGGACAAUGGGCGAAAGCCUGAUCCAGCAAUGCCGCGUGUGUGAAGAAGGCCUUCGGGUUGUAAAGCACUUUUGUCCGGAAAGAAAUGGCUCUGGUUAAUACCUGGGGUCGAUGACGGUACCGGAAGAAUAAGGACCGGCUAACUACGUGCCAGCAGCCGCGGUAAUACGUAGGGUCCAAGCGUUAAUCGGAAUUACUGGGCGUAAAGCGUGCGCAGGCGGUUGUGCAAGACCGAUGUGAAAUCCCCGAGCUUAACUUGGGAAUUGCAUUGGUGACUGCACGGCUAGAGUGUGUCAGAGGGGGGUAGAAUUCCACGUGUAGCAGUGAAAUGCGUAGAGAUGUGGAGGAAUACCGAUGGCGAAGGCAGCCCCCUGGGAUAACACUGACGCUCAUGCACGAAAGCGUGGGGAGCAAACAGGAUUAGAUACCCUGGUAGUCCACGCCCUAAACGAUGUCAACUAGUUGUAGGGGAUUCAUUUCCUUAGUAACGUAGCUAACGCGUGAAGUUGACCGCCUGGGGAGUACGGUCGCAAGAUUAAAACUCAAAGGAAUUGACGG